rnacentral:rRNA from 1 species
AGAACGAACGCUGGCGGCGGGGUUUAGGCAUGCAAGUCGAGCGAGAAAAGCGCAAGCUGAGUACAGCGGCGUAAGGGUGAGUAAUGGGUAGUCAACGUACCGGGCAGACGCGAAUAAUUUCCCGAAAGGGAUUGUAAUGCGCGAUGAGAUCACGGGCUCUACGGGGCUUGGGAUCAAAGGUCGGGGAUCCUUCGGGACCUGGCGCUGUCUGAGCGGACUACCUCUGAUUAGCUAGUUGGCGGGGUAACGGCCCACCAAGGCGAUGAUCAGUAGCCGGCCUGAGAGGGUGUCCGGCCACACUGGGACUGAGACACUGCCCAGACUCCUACGGGAGGCUGCAGUCGCGAAUCAUUCACAAUGGACGCAAGUCUGAUGAUGCCACGCCGCGUGCGGGAUGAAGGCCCUCGUGGGUUGUAAACCGCUGUCGAAGGAAGGGGAACCGCGGAACGUGAAUAGCGUUCCGUCUGACUGCUUUCUAAAGGAACGCCCCGGACAAAAC